CCGUGAAAUGGNGGGUUAAGUNCCGCCAANGAGCGGCAAAGCCCUNGGCCCUUAGUCCAUCGGUCCAGUUGGGCACUCUAAGGGGACUGCCGGGUGAUAACCCGAGAGGAANGGUGGGGAUGACGUCAAGUCCUCAUGGCCCCUUACGGGCUGGGCUACACACGUGCUACAAUGGUGGUGACAAGUGGGCAGCGAGACCCGCGAGGCCGAGCUAAUCUCCAAAAGCCAUCUCAGUUCGGAUUGUACUCUGCAACUCGAGUACAUGAAGUUGGAAUCGCUAGUAAUCGCGGAUCAGCAUGCCGCGGUGAAUACGUUCCCGGGCCUUGUACACACCGCCCGUCACUACCAUGGGUGUUGGUUCUACCCGAAGGCGCUGCGCUAACCGCAAGGAGGCAGGCGACCACGGUAGGGUCAGCGACUGGGGUGAAGUCGUAACAAGGUAACCGUA
rnacentral:rRNA from 1 species